AAACAAAUGUGUAUAACCAUACAGAAAACAUAUGCUUCAGCCUCCCGAGUAGCUGGGAUUACAGGUGUGCGCCACCACACCCAGCUAAUUUUUGUAUUUUUCAUAAGAGACGGGGUUUCUCCACAUUGGCCAGGCUGGUCUCAAACUCCUGACCUCAAGUGAUCCACCCACCUCGGCCUCCCAAAGUGCUGGGAUUACAGGCGUGAGCCACCGUGCCCAGCCAACACAAGUUUUUUACUACUCCACAUUCUACAGCUCCAUUUUUCAUAAAAGCUGGACAUGUCUGAGUCUGAUCUAUACCUCUGUUAAUAAUUAAGUCAUUGUAAUAUUUUGUACUUUGAAGACAGUACAUAAUUUAGAAAGAGGAAACAUCAUUACAGUUUCUUAUAAAACAAUAAGCCAUUUUACUAAACUGAAACAUAAAAAUCAUUUUAAGAAUAUCUCUGGA
rnacentral:lncRNA from 10 species